UUUGGAAAAAUGGAGAUUGAAAAAAAAUGAUGAUGAAUAAAUUGUGAAAAAAGGAGAAUUAUUUUUUUUUCUAAUGCAUUGAUUGUGGAAGGACGCAAGAGUGAAAAAACUUUAUUAUUGUUACAUUCGUUUACGAGUAUUAACGUCGUUCGACGCUCUUCUUCAAAACUAUAUACGUGAUUUUCUAACGCUCCUUUUUUUAUGACCAAUCAAUUAGAGUGAGAGUGAUCGAUGUCGGUUUGGCUUCAAAGUUAUCCUAGUAUUACUUCAACUUGGAAGGCAAUUGAACUCAGUUGACCUUAAAUGGAGAGCAACAAACGCCGUAAACGUACGUCGAACUCAACUUGGUAAUGUUCCAUUCCUUUUUUUUGGAGGAUUUGGAUACAUAUCCAAGUUAAUAUGGAGGAAAUUUUGCGAGAGUUGAACUUGAAAGUUAAACUCCGCGUGGAGUGUUUGUUUCCGAUACAUAUGUAUACUCAACUUGCGGUAUGUCUCUCAUUCUACCCCGCGAAUCUCCCAGAGGGGCGAGUAUCGAAUGGAAUCUGUCCAACCCCAAACCAUAUAACGUUCAACGAGUAAGAUUUGAAAUGCUAUACCUGCCAUCAGAAACUAGAGAGGGAGAGAGAGAGAGAGAGAGAGCAAUGUUGGAAACGACGAGAGUGGUAUGCCGAGAUAUGCAAGAUCGCUUGAGAGAUGUACAUUACUCCAAAUAUACAUACACACAUAUAUAUAUAUAUAUAUAUAUAUACAUGAAUGAAUAAUCAUAAAAAAGAAGGGAUGACACAAACACUGAGAAGAAAAAUGAGGCUCGUUGCAACAAUGACGCAAGAAGAAAAAAAAAAUGGAAAGGAGGACACUGUGGACGACAGGUUGAAAAAGAAGGAAGGGAAAAUAAAGGUUUUUGUGAAGGAGGGGCGUGUGUUGGAGCUUUUGUAAAUCAGGUAAUAAACAGUGUGGAUUUUUGUAAUUUAUUAAAUUUUUUUACAGUUUUACUUCAUACGGGAGUGUUCGAACUUAAUGAAAGUGACGGUCGUUUAAUAAAAAAUAAUUAAUGUAAAAUAUUAUUAUUAUUCGUUCGUGUCGUGUCGGAUUUAAAAUUUAUUAGCUUCGGGAGUGUUCGACAUAUUUAUAAUCGUGAACGAAAUUUUCUUAGGGUGUUUAGAAAUUCGUUUUCGUUGUUUGUCUUUCGUUAUUUUUAUAUAUACAAGACAACUCGUUACGCGCGCGUCCGAAUUAUAAUUUAAAUCGCGAUCGUCAUUUUUCGCGAAUAUUAAGAAAGUUUAUUUUAAAUUGGGAAGAGGAGGGGGUGGGAGGGCUAAGUCGAAUUCAUUAUGCCAGGGACUUUCGAAAACGUCUUAUUGAAUGUUGAAUAUAAUUUUUCAUAAAUAAAACCAAUUUAUGUAAAAGUUGAUUCAUCUCAUCUGUAAAGUUUUACUUGUGUCAAUUAUUUAACCAUGAUUGUUACAUGCAAUGAUCAUAUAAUUUUUCACCUACUAAUCACUGGAUUGAUUUGGAAAAUAAAAUGAAUCACGCAUUUAACACUAUGGUUUCAUAUUUCCUUGUGGAUCUUUACACUGAUGGCUAUAUAUUUUUGUAAGUAAUUGUAGCCAUUGACCCGCUAGUGGGAUAAGACGAGGGUUACGCAUCCCUAACUGCGCACAUUCUUUUUGAAAUUUAUUUUUUUAGUCUGCAUAAGUACGCACUUACACU